rnacentral:rRNA from 1 species
UACCAGCACCCCGAGUGGUCGGGACGAUUAUUGGGCCUAAAGCAUCCGUAGCCGGUUCUACAAGUCCUCCGUUAAAUCCAACUGCUUAACAGAUGGGCCGCGGAGGAUACUAUAAGACUAGGAGGCAGGAGAGGCAAGCGGUACUCAGUGGGUAGGGGUAAAAUCCGUUGAUCCAUUGAAGACCACCAGUGGCGAAGGCGGCUUGCCAGAAUGCGCUCGACGGUGAGGGAUGAAAGCUGGGGGAGCAAACCGG